UGGGGAAUCUUGCACAAUGGAGGAAACUCUGAUGCAGCGACGCCGCGUGAGCGAAGAAGCCUUUCGGGGUGUAAAGCUCUUACGCCAGGGACGAUAAUGACGGUACCUGGAGAAGCAGCUGCGGCUAACUACGUGCCAGCAGCCGCGGUAAUACGUAGGCAGCAAGCGUUGUUCGGAAUUACUGGGCGUAAAGGGUGCGUAGGCGGCGCUCUAAGUUUGGUGUGAAAUCUCCCGGCUUAACUGGGAGGGUGCACUGAAGACUGGGGCGCUCGAGUAUGGGAGAGGAAAGCGGAAUUCCUGGUGUAGCGGUGAGAUGCGUAGAGAUCAGGAGGAACACCUGCGGUGUAGACGGCUUUCUGGACCAUCACUGACGCUGAGGCACGAAAGCGUGGGUAGCAAACAGGAUUAGAAACCCCAGUAG
rnacentral:rRNA from 1 species